rnacentral:lncRNA from 1 species
GGUUCAAAGUGGGUGGAUUUGGGGGGAGAUAAGUCCAAGGACUAUUGGAGCAUGCACCAAACAAAUAAGGUUGAUAUACAAAUAUGACUAGUCCUUCACCUUACUCCAUAAAUAAGGGACAGUCCAGAUCCCAUUGAGCUCUUCUGCUGCAUGCUGGAAUCUUCCCCUGGAACAGGGACAUCUCUCAAGGUUACUCCUUGAGGCUGAGAGAUUCUAUGCCUGUGACAGAUAGUCAUUGACUAAUAGCUAGCUCAUUGAGACUUUGCAAGUAAUUUGCUAAGCAUGAUGAAACUUUGUAAUCUUAGCUAAGUGAUAUAAAGGAUUGGUUGUGCAUAUGAUUCUUUAGGUAUCAGCUCUUAAGUCUGGGAUUGUGUUGUAUCUAGACUCGCUCCUUGGAGUUUGGACGGCAAGAGGGGCUCCACUCUGAACCUUGUGACUCAAGAAGGAAGACAAAUUUAUCAAGUAUGUUUUGUGUCACUUUACCAGCCUUGCUUUGCUGAAUGCCCUCACCUGCUCUGGGGAUCUCAGCACCCGACCUUUCCUCUCCCACUUGAUCUCUCCCUUCUUCCUUCUGGUACUUGAUACCCUGCUGGGGCCAUAGCUGACCUGCAGCCAAGCACAUGCACUGUGGUGCGAGCUACUGGAGCAAAUGGGAUCCUAGCAUCAGCUACUGUAGUGUGUGGUGUCCCCUGCUCCCAGCCACUGGGCAGGAUGUGUGGUUCCAAAUC